GGAUUGGACAAUGUUAUAUAUCACCCUUUUACCGACAAAAAUCAAAUUAAUACUCGACGUUUAUUGGACCUUUUGGAAAAAGUCGUACAGUCUAAUACCAAAGUCACACUCAAAAGCAUCGAGAUGAAAGUCGUUCGAGUUAAACUUCCUAAAGGUGGAGCACGCUGCAGACUACCUCAUUCAUACCUUCCAAGCUUUUUGAAACGAAAGAAAUGCAUUGUUUCCGUCAGCGGUGAUAAAGAACUCUGUUUUGGUCGUUGUUUAGCGCUGGGCAUCUGUGCGCACACAUCCGAUCAGAAAGGUUUUAAAAAUUUAAAGGAUUCUCAAGGAAGA
rnacentral:lncRNA from 1 species